rnacentral:rRNA from 1 species
UGAACGCUAGCUACAGGCUUAACACAUGCAAGUCGAGGGGAAACGGCAUCGAAAGCUUGCUUUUGAUGGGCGUCGACCGGCGCACGGGUGAGUAACGCGUAUCCAACCUGCCCAUCACUUGGGAAUAACCUUGCGAAAGUAAGACUAAUGCCCAAUGACAUCCCACGAAGGCAUCCGAAUGGGAUUAAAGAUUUAUCGGUGAUGGAUGGGGAUGCGUCUGAUUAGCUUGUUGGCGGGGUGACGGCCCACCAAGGCAACGAUCAGUAGGGGUUCUGAGAGGAAGGUCCCCCACAUUGGAACUGAGACACGGUCCAAACUCCUACGGGAGGCAGCAGUGAGGAAUAUUGAUCAAUGGGCGAGAGCCUGAACCAGCCAAGUAGCGUGCAGGAUGACGGCCCUAUGGGUUGUAAACUGCUUUUAUAAGGGAAUAAAGUGGGUCACGUGUGACUUUUUGCAUGUACCUUAUGAAUAAGGACCGGCUAAUUCCGUG